rnacentral:rRNA from 1 species
UACGGAGGGUGCAAGCGUUAUCCGGAUUUACUGGGUGUAAAGGGAGCGUAGACGGCGAUGCAAGUCUGAAGUGAAAGGCGGGGGCCCAACCCCCGGACUGCUUUGGAAACUGUAUGGCUGGAGUGCAGGAGAGGUAAGUGGAACUACAUGUGUAGCGGUAAAAUGCGUAAAUAUAUGUAAGAACACCGGUGGCGAAGGCGGCUUGCUGGGCCUGUACUGACAUUGAGGCACGAAAGCGUGGGGAGCAAACAGG